GAUGAACGCUGGCGGCGUGCCUAAUACAUGCAAGUCGAGCGAACGGACGAGAAGCUUGCUUCUCUGAUGUUAGCGGCGGACGGGUGAGUAACACGUGGAUAACCUACCUAUAAGACUGGGAUAACUUCGGGAAACCGGAGCUAAUACCGGAUAAUAUUUUGAACCGCAUGGUUCAAAAGUGAAAGACGGUCUUGCUGUCACUUAUAGAUGGAUCCGCGCUGCAUUAGCUAGUUGGUAAGGUAACGGCUUACCAAGGCAACGAUGCAUAGCCGACCUGAGAGGGUGAUCGGCCACACUGGAACUGAGACACGGUCCAGACUCCUACGGGAGGCAGCAGUAGGGAAUCUUCCGCAAUGGGCGAAAGCCUGACGGAGCAACGCCGCGUGAGUGAUGAAGGUCUUCGGAUCGUAAAACUCUGUUAUUAGGGAAGAACAUAUGUGUAAGUAACUGUGCACAUCUUGACGGUACCUAAUCAGAGAGCCACGGCUAACUACGUGCCAGCAGCCGCGGUAAUACGUAAGUGGCAAGCGUUAUCCGGAAUUAUUGGGCGUAAAGCGCGCGUAGGCGGUUUUUUAAGUCUGAUGUGAAAGCCCACGGCUCAACCGUGGAGGGUCAUUGGAAACUGGAAAACUUGAGUGCAGAAGAGGAAAGUGGAAUUCCAUGUGUAGCGGUGAAAUGCGCAGAGAUAUGGAGGAACACCAGUGGCGAAGGCGACUCUCUGGUCUGUAACUGACGCUGAUGUGCGAAAGCGUGGGGAUCAAACAGGAUUAGAUACCCUGGUAGUCCACGCCGUAAACGAUGAGUGCUAAGUGUUAGGGGGUUUCCGCCCCUUAGUGCUGCAGCUAACGCAUUAAGCACUCCGCCUGGGGAGUACGACCGCAAGGUUGAAACUCAAAGGAAUUGACGGGGACCCGCACAAGCGGUGGAGCAUGUGGUUUAAUUCGAAGCAACGCGAAGAACCUUACCAAAUCUUGACAUCCUUUGACAACUCUAGAGAUAGAGCCUUCCCCUUCGGGGGACAAAGUGACAGGUGGUGCAUGGUUGUCGUCAGCUCGUGUCGUGAGAUGUUGGGUUAAGUCCCGCAACGAGCGCAACCCUUAAGCUUAGUUGCCAUCAUUAAGUUGGGCACUCUAAGUUGACUGCCGGUGACAAACCGGAGGAAGGUGGGGAUGACGUCAAAUCAUCAUGCCCCUUAUGAUUUGGGCUACACACGUGCUACAAUGGACAAUACAAAGGGCAGCGAAACCGCGAGGUCAAGCAAAUCCCAUAAAGUUGUUCUCAGUUCGGAUUGUAGUCUGCAACUCGACUACAUGAAGCUGGAAUCGCUAGUAAUCGUAGAUCAGCAUGCUACGGUGAAUACGUUCCCGGGUCU
rnacentral:rRNA from 1 species